rnacentral:rRNA from 1 species
UGCGUAGGCGGACUCGAAAGCGUUCUGUGAAAGCCCCCGGCUCAACCGGGGAACAGCAGGGCGAACUGCGAGUCUAGAAGCAAGUAGGGGCGGGCAGAACAGUGGGUGGAGCGGUGAAAUGCGUAGAUAUCCACUGGAAUGCCGAUGGGAAGCCGGCCCGCUGGGCUUGUCUUGACGCUGAGGCACGAAAGCGUGGGGAUCAAACA